rnacentral:pre_miRNA from 1 species
UUAACUCCAAUUUGUAUGGAAUCGUUUGCCUACGUUUGCCGCUAGGGGCGCUGUUCCAAUUGCAUACAAAAUUGGGUUA